UACAGGAGGUCUCAAGCGUUGUUCGGAUUCAUUGGGCGUAAAGGGUGUGUAGGUGGCGCCGUAAGUCGGGUGUGAAAUUUCGGGAGCUUAACUCCGAAACUGCAUUCGAUACUGCGGUGCUUGAGGACUGGAGAGGAGACUGGAAUUCAUGGUGUAGCAGUGAAAUGCGUAGAGAUCAUGAGGAAGACCAGUGGCGAAGGCGGGUCUCUGGACAGUUCCUGACACUGAGACACGAAGGCCAGGGAGCAAACGGG
rnacentral:rRNA from 1 species